rnacentral:misc_RNA from 1 species
AAGUCGUAACAAGGUUUCCGUAGGUGAACCUGCGGAAGGAUCAUUAAAUAAUUUGAAUGUGUUCUUUUGAGCAUAUUUCUAAUUUACUGUGAACUGUUUUACUGUUUAGCGUUUUGAGGGAUGCUUAUUGACUAUAGGGAUAGGUCAGUAGGAUGUUAACCUAGCUAAAGUCAGGCUUAGGCCUGGUAUCCCAAUUCAUUUAUUUACCAAAAGAAUUCAGAAUUAAUUAUUGUAACAUAAGCGUAAAAAACUUAUAAAACAACUUUUAACAACGGAUCUCUUGGUUCUC